CCAAAUGCCACACACCGCCCCUCUACCGCAUGCGAAUCUUUGCACCUAAUCAUGUCGUCGCCAAGUCCCGCUUCUGGUACUUCGUAUCUCAGUUAAAGAAAAUGAAGAAGUCUUCAGGGGAGAUUGUCUACUGUGGUCAGGUGUUUGAGAAGUCCCCCCUGCGGGUGAAGAAUUUCGGGAUCUGGCUGCGCUAUGACUCCCGGAGUGGCACCCACAACAUGUACCGGGAAUACCGGGACCUGACCACCGCAGGCGCUGUCACCCAGUGCUGUAAGCCGCCUGUCCCGCCUCCAUAGACACUCCUUGACUCCCUCACACUGAGGCAGGGCAAAUGCCAGAAGUUCCCAGCGCAGGAGAGUCUCAGAGCUGGUGGCGGGGCACAGGAAGACGAGAGGAUGCCCCAGGCCCCAGAUGGCUCUUUUCUGAGAGCCCUGUCAGGCUCGGUUGUAAAUCACAUCGCAUCUGGAAACUCCCUUUUUGGGUCUGCACCUUGUUUAGACUGGGAUCCACAUCACCACUGUUUUCUGGGACCCACUUAGAACUGAAUUGAACCCCUGCCCGGUGUUGGGAGCUGGCACCUUUUCCCUGGCUCAUCUGCCAGGGUCUGUGAGACCCCCACACCUCCCUGAUUGCACCUAAACCCAAGAAUCACUGUUUCUUAUAGCGGUGGUUUAAACAGAGGUGCAAACAGCAAGUGGAUCUUGUCGCCUUUGAGGAGCUGUGUCUGUGCCCCUCAAAGUGAAUUUGGAGGUUCCACAACUCUAGUGGCCAGUGCCUGCUGGGACCCAGGCCUUGGGCUAUCUCGCUUCUCCCCCACCACCUUCCCGUGAGCCCCGAGCCCUCAGGCAGUUGCUGUGACCAACAGGAUGUGUCAGGUCAUUGGGCAGGCACUCAGGAAGUUUGCUGAAUGCCCAGAGCCCAGGCAACACCAUCACCCUGGCCCCGCUC
rnacentral:sRNA from 1 species